CUAUCGGCGCGGGAGCACGUUUGUUUACACCAACUAUCAACAAAAACAUUAUUGUUGUAUCAUUUACUGCUCAGCAGUUUAGUGAGUGUGUUUACCAAACAAUAAUAAAGUGUCUUGAGUUUUUGUUUUAAAAAAAUGGAUAAUAAUCGUUUAAAUGAAUCAUCACCUCAAGGUGUAUCUAGUCUUGAUGGGAUGUAUACCGACUUUGACGAAUGGAUAGUGAACUUCACAGCAUAUUAUAAGGGGUCGACACAUUCUUCUCGGGAAAUAUGUACGACGAAACCUCAAAACCCAACCUUUUUGAAACCAGACUUUUUUGAAAAAGACUUGUUAUUCCGCGACUUAUUGCUGAGGCAUUGGAACGAAAGUCGUACAGCCAAGCCGCCAUCUUUAAAUAUAGAAAAUGACGGAUUUGUGUACUACGAUCAAUUGUUUUAUAGAUUUGUGAACAAAAAAGGUGAUAGACAGAUAGUUUGCCAGUUUGUUAGAUCGAAGUUAUAACCAGGAUGUGAUAAAUUCGUCCGACAAAUUCUAACUCUUUUGGUGCAUUGACAGCUGCUGUCAGUCAGUACAAACAAGGAUAGUUUCUCGCGAUAACUGACAGCUGUCAACUGCACAAAUUAUUCGGUACCCCCAUACCCUAUAUUUACCUA